rnacentral:piRNA from 1 species
UCAGCACCAGGAUAUUGUUGGGGA